rnacentral:lncRNA from 1 species
AACUUCUAUAAAUAUUUUCCACUGUGGUUCUCUUUGGUUUCUCUGUCUCUAGUUUUUGGACUGUCCUGCAUUUGAUUUUUGCAUCUCUUAAUAGGAGACUUUACUAUCUUCUCUACAGUGGGUGCUUCUCCAACGUUUUUUUAAUGCUUUCAUUCUUAAUCUCAUCUUGUCUUGACUGAGCUUUAAUUCACUGUAAUGUUCUUAACUCUGUAACAACUAGCUUACAUUUGUGUAAGCUCUUUAUAUCCCAAUGUACAUUAUCACACAACAUUGUACGUCUUAUAGUCGAGCAGUAAAAUUUUCUGUUCAGGUUGAGUGGGAUUUUUCUAUCACAAAUUACACCAGAAAUAUUCCUCUUUUUAUUAUCUAGAAAUACAUGCCCGCAUAGUUAAAUUGAUUGAGCAAAUCACUAAGUAUUAAAAUAGAAAUUUUAUGAUUUUGCUGUUCCGUAUGAGUUGGAUAUCUCAAAUGUGUGAGAAGAAAGAAAAAAAAAUGUCACAGGAGAGAAAUAAGUGAAAAAUCCCCUUGCAACUAAAUGUUAACUCAGAUGCUAUGAAUUAUAU